UGUUUAUCAAGGGUCAGGAGCAGAUGAUCUACCCAACGGGACGGAACUUAGCGUGCUGCGAAGGGUCAGCUGUGAUGGAGAACAUGCUUUGUAACUGGCACAGAAGUCUCAGAGGCUUACAUUUAUAUUUGUACAAGUAAAUUUAUAGCCCCUGCCUAAUAAAGGUCCAUGCUGCAAAGGACUGGCAUAAACAUACAACGGAGUGGCUGCUUUUUCCAUUCAGCAGGAUUCUGCAUAGUCACUGCUGUCCUCUAGACUGGCUGCAAACCUCCAUACUCCUCAUCCCUCUCAUUCAGCAUUAUUCUGUCACCCUGAAUGUAGGAAACAGCUAUAGCCCCUUCUUCACAGCCCCAGAGACACUAAUUGUACCUCCCCCAAAACAACCCACUGUGGUCACCAGCACCCACAAAGAACAAGCAAGAGAUACGAGACAGCUUCUGCUGGCUUUUGGAGAGGGAGUGGUGGCAGUGGAAAUAAAUAAUCCAAGCAUAAAUGUGGAUGAAAAUUAAGAACUGCUUAUUUUGAGUGAUGUUUCCAAACUCAACAGUAAAGCGAAACCUGCUUCAGCACUUGAACUCCAUUAUCUCAUAAAACCUGAGCACAAAAAACCCUUGUGCCUUAGGACCGCUGGCGUUAGGGGUAGGGAGUCUGGUGGCCAAGAAAGAGGCUGAGCACCAAGUACCACCUAGCAAGGUAUCAGCACACAAGCCUCCUUGUAACUGGCCAGCAUCACUUUUUGGCCAUGGAAUAAUGAGACUUAGUAGCCAACAGAGGAAAUAUCUGUGUCCAUAUACCGCACCUACCUGUUAUUCUCUUGGUCAAAAUUAAGGAAGAUUGUCAUUUGGGACAGGGGGUUACUUUAAACGCUGAGAAAGUGAAGACUAAGCGUGAAUCAAUGACUGAACCAACUAGUGUCUGUAUUGCAUUAGCAUCUAGACAUCCACGUGAAGCAUCUCAGCCCCACUGUGCAAGGAACUGGAUGACAGGCACAGCCUUAGAGAACAGUAGUGGCAGGAGCAGUGUCUUUGUGUCAAAGGGCUACCAGAGGUCUUCCUGUCUACAGGAAUCUCUGUGCAAGAGGAUUCCUUGAUGCUCUGACAAUUACAAGGCAUAUUCCACCCUGACUCGCAGGUGCACGAAGAGCGUAAGCCACAGAUGAAUCUGACCAGGACUUUCCCUGCUAGCCUUGUGUUGAAGGAAUGGAAUUCUCUCCAGAUUUCUCACCUUCCUGGUGUUACUUUAAUUCAACCCAGCCCCACAGCUCAUCUCAGAGCCCAGGAAAAGCCCCUCUAAUUCACCAAAAACCUCCGCCUGGUGGAGAGAGAUUUUCCAACAGGAUUGCAUGAAGUCUUGCUUAUGGUACUCAUUUAAGACCUUUGACCUGAAAACUGCAACUGCAUAUAGAUACCAUCCUCACCCUAUUCCACCAGGAUCAGGUGGGACAACACCCAACUCAGGGCUCGCAUGCAACCACUAAGUGCUUUAUUACUGCAAUAUAAAAACAGGAAAGAAAUAAAGCUACCAUACAUGUUAAGGUCGCUCUAACACGAUCACCAAAGCAGUCCAGAUUUCUUGGACUUCUGUUUCCUCUCUACGCAUUGCAUCCAGUAUGCUUGUGAUAGAUUCCAAAGUAGGCUUUACACCAGAGCUUUCCUUAUUUGAACACAACCGAAACCACAUUUGUGGGUUACAAGCCUGCCUCGAAAACUUGGCGAAAACAUCAGGCCAUCGUUCUUCACUGGUUCUCUUCACAGACCUGGGGUAAAUUUUCAGUGAAUUGCAUAGGGUGUUUUCUAAGUCUUCUGACUCCCAUUAAAAAUCAAUAGAAAAAAAACCUACACAGCUAUAGAAAUAGGCUCCUGUGGUUUCUUAAGUAACAGCCACCAAUGACCAUCUAUAAGCAGAAUGGAGAACCUCUUCUCUCUGACAGGGGAAAGCUGCAGCCUUGGCUGGGCGGCUUGGGAAAUGACAGCUGUUAGACCCACUUCCUUUCAUCAUGCCCUGAAGGCCCAGAAAACCCUCAACCCACUGUUUUGAACACUAAAAACUUGACUGCCACGUAGGUGUUCCAUUUUAAUCCUAAAGCGUGGCAUAUUAUGUACCUGAGUUUGAGCAAGCAUUUGAAGAGCGCAUUCCUUCAAAACAUUUAGCCCAUUUACUUUAAAAUAAAAGGAGGUGAUAACACUUACUUCUCUGGCAUUGUGUCUAGUGCAAGGAG